GGCUUCGGAGCUCAGCUGGUGGAGCGCUUGCCGCGUAGAGGCAUGGUGUUUCUGUCGCUGGUUCGAAUCCAGCCGAAGCCC
rnacentral:tRNA from 1 species